GAUCUGGCUCAGGAUGAACGCUGGCGGCGUGCUUAACACAUGCAAGUCGAGCGAAGCACUUUUGCGGAUUUCUUCGGAUUGGAGCAAUUGUGACUGAGCGGCGGACGGGUGAGUAACGCGUGGGUAACCUGCCUCAUACAGGGGGAUAACAGUUGGAAACGGCUGCUAAUACCGCAUAAGCGCACAGUACCGCAUGGUACCGUGUGAAAAACUCCGGUGGUAUGAGAUGGACCCGCGU
rnacentral:rRNA from 1 species